UGUUAAAAAUUUCAUCUAUUUUUACUGUUAAAAACUGACGUGAUUGACAAAAUAAUCAAAUAGUUACACAUGUACCUUAUUCUGGUGUACAUGGACCAAUUUUUUAACAGUAAAAAUAGAUGGAAUUUUUAAUA
rfam:Gossypium hirsutum cultivar TM-1 unplaced genomic scaffold scaffold559.1, whole genome shotgun sequence